rnacentral:rRNA from 1 species
GAUGAACGCUGGCGGCGUGCCUAAUACAUGCAAGUCGAGCGAACAGACGAGGAGCUUGCUCCUCUGACGUUAGCGGCGGACGGGUGAGUAACACGUGGAUAACCUACCUAUAAGACUGGGAUAACUUCGGGAAACCGGAGCUAAUACCGGAUAAUAUAUUGAACCGCAUGGUUCAAUAGUGAAAGACGGUUUUGCUGUCACUUAUAGAUGGAUCCGCGCCGCAUUAGCUAGUUGGUGAGGUAACGGCUUACCAAGGCAACGAUGCGUAGCCGACCUGAGAGGGUGAUCGGCCACACUGGAACGGAGACACGGUCCAGACUCCUACGGGAGGCAGCAGUAGGGAAUCUUCCGCAAUGGGCGAAAGCCUGACGGAGCAACGCCGCGUGAGUGAUGAAGGUCUUCGGAUCGUAAAACUCUGUUAUUAGGGAAGAACAAAUGUGUAAGUAACUAUGCACGUCUUGACGGUACCUAAUCAGAAAGCCACGGCUAACUACGUG